AAUAGCCUAACGGCUGAACCAGCAACUUGGAGGAAUGAAUAGCAAUAGCUAAUUGCGCAAAUAUAUGAUGCAAUAUCGACUCAGUCGAAUAAAAUUCUGGCUAAAAUUAUGAUAAUGACAUUGUUUAGCUAUGUGUCUUGACCAAAUUACGUGCCAGCAGUCGCGGUAAUACGUAGAAGACUAGUGUUAUUCAUCUUUAAUAGGUUUAAAGGGUACCCAGACAGUAAAUCAAGCCCUAGUCGGGACUAAUUUGCUAGAGUUACUUACACGGGGGUUUUAAAGUACUAAUGGUGUAGAGAUAAAAUUUUGUAAUACCAUUUUUCGAAAGAAAAGUCAUGGCACUGGUAAAGGCGAAAGCAUCCCCUUAUGUGAUAACUGACGUUGAAGGACGAAGGCUUUGGAUCGCGAAUAGGAUUAGAUACCCUAGUAGUCGAAGCAGAGAAUUAUGAGUGUCAUAGAUUAAAAAUUAAUUUUAUUCUAUAAAUGAAAGUGUAAGCAUUCCACCUCAAGAGUAAUUUGGCAACAUUGAAACUGAAAUCAUUAGACCGUUUCUGAA
rnacentral:rRNA from 1 species